UACGAAGGGGGCUAGCGUUGCUCGGAAUCACUGGGCGUAAAGCGCACGUAGGCGGAUUGUUAAGUCAGGGGUGAAAUCCUGGAGCUCAACUCCAGAACUGCCUUUGAUACUGGCGAUCUCGAGUCCGGGAGAGGUGAGUGGAACUGCGAGUGUAGAGGUGAAAUUCGUAGAUAUUCGCAAGAACACCAGUGGCGAAGGCGACUCACUGGACCGGUACUGACGCUGAGGUGCGAAAGCGUGGGGAGCAAACAGG
rnacentral:rRNA from 1 species